UACGAAGGGGGCUAGCGUUGCUCGGAAUCACUGGGCGUAAAGGGUGCGUAGGCGGGUUAUUAAGUCAGAGGUGAAAUCCUGGAGCUCAACUCCAGAACUGCCUUUGAUACUGGAGAGCUUGAGUCCGGGAGAGGUGAGUGGAACUCCGAGUGUAGAGGUGAAAUUCGUAGAUAUUCGGAAGAACACCAGUGGCGAAGGCGGCUCACUGGCCCGGUACUGACGCUGAGGUGCGAAAGCGUGGGGAGCAAACAGG
rnacentral:rRNA from 1 species